UACAGAGGUCUCAAGCGUUGUUCGGAUUCAUUGGGCGUAAAGGGUGCGUAGGUGGCGCUGUAAGUCGGGUGUGAAAUUUCGGAGCUUAACUCCGAAACUGCAUUCGAUACUGCGGUGCUUGAGGACUGGAGAGGAGACUGGAAUUCAUGGUGUAGCAGUGAAAUGCGUAGAGAUCAUGAGGAAGACCAGUGGCGAAGGCGGCUUUCUGGACAUUUACUGACGCUGAGACGCGAAAGCGUGGGGAGCAAACAGG
rnacentral:rRNA from 1 species